rnacentral:misc_RNA from 1 species
GAUGAAGAACGUAGCGAAAUGCGAUAAUUAAUGUGAAUUGCAGAAUUCCGUGAAUCAUCGAGUCUUUGAACGCACAUUGCGCCUCAUGGCAUUCCGUGAGGCAUGCCCAUCUCAGCGUUAGAAAAUAUUCUCAAAUUUUAGUUUUGUGCUAAAAUUUGGAUCAUGUCAAGGAAGCUAUUACUAUUAUUGUGAUCGCUCUUUGGAAAUUGAUAGGUCUUUGAGUUGCUACUCAUAGAACGUGAUGAAUCUUUCUUCGUUCUAUUGUAAUUCACUCUGGUAGUCCUAAAACUUGUAUGCCUGUGGCAUAUCUUGUAAUUUGACCUGAGAUUGGGUAGGGAUGCCCGCUGAACUUAAGCAUAUCAAUAAGCGGAGGA